rnacentral:ncRNA from 1 species
CAAGGACCCGGUGCAAUUCUGGGUGGCUAUUCCGGCCGCCGAUCCGCCGGACAACA